rnacentral:lncRNA from 1 species
UUGUAAACUCAUUAAGAGUGUUUGGCAAGGUGGAAUCUUUGUGGCAAGAUGGAAUCCUUGUGUUGUUAAUUUGCUUAGAAACGGUGGUUGCUCGGGAGUUCUGAUUCCCUUGAGGUCUCUAUAAGAGUGUAGGUGUCUUGUAUUCAUGUUGUUUGUAUUUUGAUAUUUAAUAUACAUCUUAGUGCCUAUAACAUGUAGUACAUUAUGUCUCACUAGCUAUCUUAGUUAUAGUCAUCUUGUUUUCCAUUUUGUGUUGCUUGUUCAUCUUGUUAUAGUGGACUAUUUUUUGCCAUUUUGUGGGCUGUUUUAGCACAUCAUAGGUCGUUCUUGUAUCAUUUGGUAUCAAAUCCAUCAUUGAUUUCAUUUCCACGAGAUCAAUCUUGGGCUUGUUCACUCAAAACAAUAAAAAAAAGGUGUUGAAAAUCUGAAAAACUCAAAAAUAGUAAUCUAUCCACGUUUUUGUGCUUAGGCCGAAAUUUGAAGCCUACUUUUCUUAUAAUUUUUGUGUGUUUUGUGUUUUAUAGUGUUAGAUAUUUGUUUUCUAACAUUAGAAGAGGUGUCCAAGGUCAAAAAUCUCACAAAAAAGAAGUUAUUCUAUGGGUUUGCUGUCUUGGCCAAAAUGGUGUUGUUGUUUGGACGAAUUUGUGUCUAGAUUUAGGUAUUGUUUUGAUUUUAUUUGUUGUUUAUUGUGUUUUUUUUCUUUAUCUCUAAUACUAAUUGAGUCUAACCCAAGUUCUUGAGCCAAAAAAAAAUCAAGUUGUUGUGGGAAUAGUGGACAGUUUUGUUGUUAUUGUUGUUGGAGUUCUUGUGCUGUGAUGAGGAAGUCUUGUAAAAGGUUGUGUUUUGAUCCAAAUUCAAAGUGAAGAGAGUGUGGGUUCUUUUUAUUCUUGAAAAAACUUUGAAUACAUUACCAAAUGGGAAAAAGAACAAAAGACCUCCCAAAGGUCUUCAUACCUAAAGGGAAUAAAUUUAUUUUUUUCUAGACAAGCCAAACGAGGAAAGGGGGACAAGACCUCCAAAAGGUUGUCUUUCCAUUUUGUUGAAAGUAGGUUAAAGACUUUAUGUGUCUUGAAAAUGGAGUCUAGACCUUUUUUGUACCAUACCUUGGCCGAAAUUCUCCACUUCCAUACAUGAAAUUGAACAACUAGUUUCUUGAAACAAAAAUUUUUUAACAUCAACCAAAUUCCAACGUCCAAUAGUUAAGUGCCACAUCAUCAGAGAGAUCAUGAACAUUGGAUAUCAUAUUUUCACUUUCUUGUUUCGAUUACUUUCAAUUUUAUUGAUUCUCAUGCUAAUUAGCAAACUAGUAAAAACCUAUUAGGUUGUAGAUUAGUUUUUGAGUGCGUUUUCUUUUGUGUUAGUAUUGUAUUGUGUGCUUUUAUCAUUUUUAAGUCGUAGUAUUUUCGUUGGUCCAAGUUCAAACAUAAUUUUUUGAGUUUUUUCAAACAAGAAUCUACUCUGACCUCGAGCCAUAAUUGGGACCAAGUAACCUCAUUGGAGUAUAAGUGAGUUAUCAACACUUUUGAGACCAAUAGAGUGAGUACUUCAAAAGUUUGAGCUUGAGAGACUGCAGACUAUUUUGAGACAAAUUGUGGACUGAUUUUUGCCAACCUUUAAUGAAAAGAACAAUGGAUAGAAUGGAAGGACAAAUAGAAAGGAUGGAGAGCUUUAUUUGCAAGAAGCUGGAUAACUUAAUAGAGCAUCCAAGCUUUCCUAAUCUAAUUCCAGUAAGUGGCCAAGCUCCACAUGAGCUACUACGUAAUCAAACUAACUCUUGUCUUCUAGUGAAUAAGGCUAAUAACCAACUAAGUAUGAAUGAUAGUAUGUCUUUAGGUGAGCCGAAUACGCCUUUAUUUUGUAUUGAUAAUGAACAACUUGAGAUUUUGGAUACACUAGUUGAUCCACCUAGUGUUGAAGCCACUGUGGCAAGUGAUAGUACAUUGUCUUAUGGAAGUAAUAAAGACCAACUUGUGUGUGAAAAUGGUAAUGUUGAACAUGUUGGUCGAUUGACUAAGGAUGACCCUAUAGUUGUUUUUAUUGUAGAUCAUGCGAGUUUAGAGGGAAUAUUUGAUCGUAAUUAUAGUAGUAUUAGGGCACGGAAGUGUGUCUCCAAACCGUUCCUAUGGAAACUCCACCCAUUUGACAUCGGUAAUCAUUUGAAAUAUAGUGAUGAUGUCUUUUGGAAUGACUUGAAUGUGCAUGAAAUAUAUGGUUUUCCUAUCUCGGCUUUCAAGCCUAUUUGUUGUUCCAAGAAGAGUCUAAGUUUUCCACUUGAUAAGAAACUCUUGUUCCUUGUUUUUUGGCAUACUUAUGUGAGUUGCCUAAUUUAUUCUUUCUUGGGAGGAUAUUUAGGUAAUAGGGAUGUUUAGUUGUAUGUGAAGAUUGAUCCACCAUGGCAAGAUGCUAUGAUUUAUUACACUAAUCCUAACCGUCAUACCUUGAGAAAUUUGUUUUCUUGUCCUUCCUAUUGUUUCAGGGUUCAGAUUCGAGGAUGCAUCCUAUCUAAAGAGAGAAGGUUGAUAAUGGUCAAAGAGGCAUCUUAGCACUCGAGGACAUGAAGAGUUGAGUGAAGACUCGAGCUUGUGUGGCUUCCCAUCCAAGGAAAAAGCUUUGAAGUGUUGAGAACAAGUCCCAACACUCCAAAAUGGUCCAAGGAGUACACUACAGGGCCGCCCAUUUGUUUGGGAUCAUUAAGGGCCUUUUGGUCAUUUUUAUAAUAAGUGUUUCCCUAGUCUAUAAAUAGAACAUUUAGUUCAUUUUUUCAUUUAGAAGUUUGAUGAUAUAUCUUGUAAACUCAUUGAAAGUAUUUGGCAUGGUAGAAUCCUUGUGGCAAGGUGGAAUCCUUGUGUUGUUAACUUGCUUAGAAAUGGUGGUUACUUAGGAGUUCUGAUUCCCUUGAGGUCUCCGUAAGAGUGUAGGUUUCUUGUAUUCAUAUUGUUUGUGUUUUUAUGUUUAAUAUACAUCUUAGUGCCUAAAAUGUGUAGUACAUUAUAUCUCACUAUCUACCCUCUUA